AGGGUUGUGGCUCAGCGGUAGAGCGCUCGCUUAGCAAGCGUGAGGCCCUGGGUUGGAUCCUCAGCACCGCAU
rnacentral:tRNA from 1 species